rnacentral:rRNA from 1 species
CAAGUGGCGGACGGGUGAGUAACACGUAAGAAUUUGCCUCUAGGAGGGGGACAACAUCGACGAGAUUUUCUCGUUUAGGGAAACUGGUGCUAAUACCCCAUAUGCUUUCGAGUGAAAUGGAUUUUUCCGCCUAGAGAGAAGCUUGCGGCUGAUUAGCUUGUUGGUGAGGUAAUGGCUCACCAAGGCGACGAUCAGUAUCUGGUUUGAGAGGAUGAUCAGACACACUGGAACUGAGACACGGUCCAGACUCCUACGGGAGGCAGCAGUGGGGAAUUUUCCGCAAUGGGCGAAAGCCUGACGGAGCAAUACCGCGUGAGGGAUGACGGCCUAUGGGUUGUAAACCUCUUUCUUCAGGGAGGAAUAAAAUGACGUGUACCUGAAGAAUAAGCAUCGGCUAACUCCGUGCCAGCAGCCGCGGUAAGACGGAGGAUGCAAGUGUUAUCCGGAAUCACUGGGCGUAAAGCGUCUGUAGGUGGUCCAAUAAGUCAACUGUUAAAUCUUGAGGCCCAACCUCAAAAUCGCAGUCGAAACUAUUAGACUAGAGUAUAGUAGGGGUAAAGGGAAUUUCCAGUGGAGCGGUGAAAUGCGUAGAGAUUGGAAAGAACACCGAUGGCGAAGGCACUUUACUGGGCUAUUACUAACACUCAGAGACGAAAGCUAGGGUAGCAAAUGGGAUUAGAUACCCCAGUAGUCCUAGCCGUAAACAAUGGAUACUAGAUGUUGAACAGAUCGACCUGUGCAGUAUCAAAGCUA